UACAGAGGGUGCGAGCGUUGUCCGGAAUCACUGGGCGUAAAGGGCGCGUAGGCGGCUUGAUAAGGUUGCGGUGAAAGCCCGGGGCUCAACCCCGGGUCGGCCGUGCGGACUGGCGUGCUCGAGCACUGUAGGGGCGGGUGGAAUUCCGGGUGUAGCGGUGGAAUGCGUAGAGAUCCGGAAGAACACCGGUGGCGAAGGCGGCCCGCUGGGCAGGAAGGCUCGCAAGAGCCGGCUGACGCUGAGGCGCGACAGCGUGGGGAGCAAACAGG
rnacentral:rRNA from 1 species